rnacentral:lncRNA from 1 species
CUGACUUCUAUGACAUCUGGAACAGGAAAGUGGGGCUCAGACAUAGCUGGAAUGAGGUAUUUUUUCCCUGUAACAGCAUUGAAUUCAGAAUGAUUAUGCAUGUCAAGAAGCCAGCCUGCCUUCCAGAGGCCAGCACUUGCAUCUUUGUUGGAGGACUUCACAUUCAAGACCUAUGGAAAGGGCUAAGAGUUAAGACCGUGCCUCCUCCGCAAGUCAGUAACCAAUGCCUGACAGGUACGGGCUGUCUCUUUGCUGACAUGAACGACUCUAAGACGUUCCAAGGCUGGCAUGGGGCACAGUCCCGUGAUUUCUGCUCCUGAUCAAGGAGUGGGAAGUGCUGACCCUGCACUUGAGGAUGCACAGAGAGUUGAAGCGACCCCCUGGAAGCCAAGUGCUGCAGGCAGAACAGC